GAUGAACGCUGGCGGCGUGCUUAGCACAUGCAAGUCGAACGAAGCACUUAUGAUUGAGAUUUCGGUUGAUUUUAUAAGUGACUUAGUGGCGGACGGGUGAGCAACGCGUGGGUAACCUGCCUCGUACAGGGGGAUAACAGUUAGAAAUGACUGCUAAUACCGCAUAACCCGCUAAGGUCGCAUGACCUGGACGGAAAAGAUUUAUCGGUACGAGAUGGACCCGCGUCUGAUUAGCUAGUUGGUGAGGUAACGGCCCACCAAGGCGACGAUCAGUAGCCGGCCUGAGAGGGUGAACGGCCACAUUGGGACUGAGGCACGGCCCAAACUCCUACGGGAGGCAGCAGUGGGGAAUAUUGCACAAUGGGGGAAACCCUGAUGCAGCGACGCCGCGUGAGUGAAGAAGUAUUUCGGUAUGUAAAGCUCUAUCAGCAGGGAAGAAAAUGACGGUACCUGACUAAGAAGCCCCGGCUAACUACGUGCCAGCCGCCGCGGUAAUAC
rnacentral:rRNA from 1 species